rnacentral:lncRNA from 1 species
GAUAGAGAAGAGUAGUCCUAUAAAAUUUGAGAGGUUCAGUUCAAGAAUCUCUGACCGCAAUAGUAUGAUUGAUGGAAAAAAAUUUUCAUAGAAAUCAUAAUUAGACUUGAGCUGAUCGAAUUUAUCAUAUAAUUGAUGUUAAGGUUUGACAAUUUAUCUAUGACCUGCCAUCUAGUCAGGACUCACGAUAGAGGGACUGAAUCACACGUUAACUAUUCCUUGAUGUUCAUUUCGAUUCUAUUGGAUUGUCACUACAUACU